rnacentral:rRNA from 1 species
GACGAACGCUGGCGGCGUGCUUAACACAUGCCAGUCGUACGGUAAGGCCCUUUCGGGGGUACACGAGUGGCGAACGGGUGAGUAACACGUGAGUAACCUGCCCACAACUUUGGGAUAACGCUAGGAAACUGGUGCUAAUACUGGAUAUGUGCUCCUGCUGCAUGGUGGGGGUUGGAAAGCUCCGGCGGUUGUGGAUGGACUCGCGGCCUAUCGGCUUGUUGGUGGGGUAGUGGCCUACCAAGGCGGCGACGGGUAGCCGGCCUGAGAGGGUGACCGGCCACAUUGGGACUGAGAGACGGCCCAGACUCCUACGGGAGGGAGCAGGGGGGAAGAUUGAACAAGGGGCGCAAGCCUGAUGCAGCAACGCCGCGGGCGGGAGGACGGCCUUCGGGUUGUAAACCGCUUUCAGCAGGGACGAAGCUUUUUGUGACGGUACCUGCAGAAGAAGCACCGGCUAACUACGUG